GGGCGUGUGGUCUAGUGGUAUGAUUCUCGCUUUGGGUUAGGAUUCGCAUACCGGAUCAGAACAAGCAUGCGAGAGGCCCUGGGUUCAAUUCCCAGCUCGCCCC
rfam:Clavispora lusitaniae ATCC 42720 scaffold_2 genomic scaffold, whole genome shotgun sequence.